CAGACCUGCUGGAGUGAGUCUAGUGGAGGCCACAAAGAUGAUCAGAGGGCUGUAACACUUUACCUAUGAAGUCAAGCUGAGAGUGUUGGGACUG